rnacentral:lncRNA from 1 species
GAAACCGUCCUCCAUUUCCAAAACAUAGAAAUCAGCAGGAAAUAUCAAUUCACCUACCCUGACCAAGACAUCUUCUAUAUAACCAGUCGGGUGAGUAACACUCCUAUUGGCCAACUGAAUGACCACACCCGUGGUUUGCAAAGGACCAAGAGACAGAGAUUUAUAAAUAGACAAUGGCAUGACAUUUAUAGAUGCACCC